GCCUGGAUAUCUCAGUCGGUAGCGCAUCAGACUUUUAAUCUGAGGGAUCAGGGGUCAAGUCUCUGUUCAGACA
rnacentral:tRNA from 1 species